rnacentral:tRNA from 1 species
GCCGGCGUAGCACAGCGGUAGUGCAGUCGAUUUGUAAUCGAAAGGUCGGGAGUUCAAUCCUCUCNNAGAGUU